GACCGCUCCGGUUGCCUAGUGGUUAGAUCGUUCGCCUCGGAUGCGGGAGGUCAUGGGUCCAAUCCCCAGCUGAGUCA